AUGAGUCACAGUGAGUUAUUGAAAAGAGCGGUUUCUUUGCUCAGCUGUAACCAACGUUGAUUCAUUGAAUGAAUCCUUUUGUUCUGUGUUUUAUCUUAUCGUUUCUUUUUGUGUUUACAGGUUUAUUAACACGAUUACCUGUUAAUUUAACUGUCAAUAGAUUAGUGUUUAAUUGAUCAAUCAUCAAACUGAUAAUCAACCAAAUUGAACAAGGUCAAGGACGAGAAGACAAACGUUACUUGCUGGAAAUGAGUAACAGCAACAAAUCAGAUGUUUAUUAAUGGAUCCUCAAAAGGGGUUAACCAUCUUUCUUUUAAAAUUUUACAUCUAAUCAGACCGGAUAAUCUUAAUUACCAAAGAUGAUAAUCAGUUGAAGGUAAUCAGGUAUUAAUUUGGUUGACUGCAUAUUGAUAUUCACUUUGCAUGUUGAAUGGUGGUAACAAAAAACCGGAACCAAAUCAGUUAGAUACCAAUCUUGUUCAUUUAAAUAAUCGUGUUGAUCAUGAUUUGGAUAGGAUCAAUUACAAGAUGAAGACGAUAACCAACAACUCGAAGACUAUUUACAAUUGGUGCCAUUAUGGACAACAAUAUCCAAAUAACAAUGGAUCUUCGCUGUGAAGCAAUAGAAUGCCGAUUUCAACUCCAUUCCUAAACAUGUAUAAAUAGAUUUGCCUUUUGGUGGUUCAAUCUAUUUAUGAAUAUCUGAAUGACGAAAUGAAAAAGUAACAAAAAACUGAAGCUAAAAAACAUUUACAGAGGCUAGUGGUUAAUUCAUUGGGUAAACAGCCGUAGGUAAUAAGUGAACUUUACAGCUAUCUAACUGACAUCAUUGAGUCAAUUAACUUUCGUAUUGCAACAAUUUACGUAAAAUUCCAAUGGAAUGUCUCUAGUUUGGAAAUAAAUUGCAAGAUUUUCCUAAACCCAAAAAAA